rnacentral:tRNA from 1 species
GAGGGUAUAGCUCAGUGGUAGAGCACAUGCCUAGCAUGCAUGAGGUCCUAGGAUCAAUCCCCAGUACUUCCA